GAUGAAGAACGUAGCGAAAUGCGAUAAGUAAUGUGAAUUGCAGAAUUCAGUGAAUCAUCGAAUCUUUGAACGCAUCUUGCGCUCCUUGGUAUUCCUUGGAGCAUGCCUGUUUGAGUAUCAUGAGCAAAUCUCAAAGUCAAUUCCUUUUGUUAAUUCAAUUUGGUUUUGCUUUGGACUUGGAGGUCUUGCAGAUUUCACAGUCUGCUCCUCUCAAAUGCAUUAGCUGGAUCUCAGUAAUUAUGCUUGGUUCCACUCGGCGUGAUAAGUAUCACUCGCUGAGGACACUGUUAAAAAGGUGGCCAGGAAAAUACUGAUUGAACCGCUUCUAACGGUCUAUUAAGUUAGACAAUUACCCUUAAGUUUGAUCUCAAAUCAGGUAGGACUACCCGCUGAACUUAAGCAUAUCAAUAAGCGGAGGA
rnacentral:misc_RNA from 1 species